rnacentral:rRNA from 1 species
AUUGAACGCUCGCGGCAUGCCUUACACAUGCAAGUCGAUCGGAGUGGCGAACGGGUGAGUAAUGCCUAGGAACAUGCCUGGUAGCGGGGGAUAACUUCCCGCAAGCGUCGCUAAUACCGCAUACUAUCGGAGCAGCCGAUGUCGGAUUAGCUAGUUGGUGGGGUAAAGGCUCACCAAGGCGACGAUCCGUAUCUGGUUUGAGAGGAUGAGCAGCCACACUGGGACUGAUACACGGUCCAGACCCCUACGGGAGGCAGCAGUGUGGAAUUUUGGACAAUGGGGGAAAACCUGAUCCAGCCAUGCCGCGUGUGUGAUGAAGGUCUUCGGGUUGUAAAGCACGUUGAGCAGGAAAGCGUUACCUGCAGAAUAAGCACCGGCUAACUACGUGCCAGCAGCGGCGGUAAUUC